rnacentral:lncRNA from 1 species
UCUCGCUCCCCUCAAAAAAAAAAAAAUCUCCUCCAUCUCGCCGCGAUCUCCACCGAAUCCCGACACCGGCGAUGGCCGCCGCCCUCCGCUCCUCUUCCGCCGCCGCCGUGCGCCGCGUUCUCCGCAUAUCCCAGGCCGCCUUGACCACGCUCCCCUCCCCUUCACGUCCUGCCGCGGUGGUGCCGUUCUCGCGCUCGAUCGCCGCCAUCUCAGGUCCUCCUCGCACUGCAUCUUGUUGGUUUGCUAGUCGAUGAUUGAUGAUGCCAUCUGUUUUUAUCUGGAUUUGCGCCAAUCUCUACUUAGGUUUCUGUGCGGUUCGCUUGCUUGUUUAGGCUAGGCUGCCCAUAGAGUUUCAAACUGGGAUCUAGUCCUUUUGUUACGCUACAGAAUGUUUGAAGGAUGUUGCCGUAGGUUGGCAUAACAUGGCAGCUUACAGUUCAGAUGUCUGGCCCCCAAAGGUUUUUUUUCUGCUAUUGUUGCCAUCAAAUGAUCGAGCACUUAAAUGUACGAAACAUACUUUUUUUAAACCGAUGCAUCAAAUGGUUUAAUUUAGCAGUACAAAACCUAUGUAUUUUACUUCAAUUCGUGGAAAAAACACUUAUGUAUUUAUACUCCCUCCGUCCAACAAAAGAUGUCUCAACUUUGACUAAAUUUGAAUGCAUCUAUACACUAAGUCAUGUCUAGAUGCAUUCAAAUUUUGACAAACUUGAGACAUCUUUUGUUGACGGAGGGAGUACUAAUAUUGCUUGGCAGCAAGAAUACCUUUUUUUUAUUGGAGGUAUGGUUUUACAUUGUUUAGAGUAUGUUGUUGAUAAAACUAUGCAGUGAUAAACUGUCUUAUGUUUUUUACUGCGAUAAUAUAGUACUCCCUCCGACCCAUAUUACUUGUCUCAAAUUUUCCCAAAUAUGGAUGUAUCUAUGUUUAAAAAGCGUCUAGAUACAUGUAAUAUUUCGACAAGUAAUUCUGGCCGGAUGGAGUAUCAAGAUUGGUAAUUAUGCCAAAGAUAAUUCUUAUCCUUAUCACUCUUCAUAUGCUGCAAUCCUAAUAUUGUACUCCCUCCGAUCCUAAAUUGUUGUCGAAAUAUUACAUGUAUUUAGACGCUUUUUAAGAAUAGAUACAUCCAUAUUUGAACAAAUUUGAGUCAAGAAUUUAGGAUCAGAGGGAGUACCUUUAGUUCAAACUCCAUAGUUUACCUAUGUCUUAUUAUCUUGUGCUCAGUAUUGAUAAACUUUUGCAUGUUGUAAAGGUGGCAACAAUGCUUUCUCGUGCAACUUCAGGCGCUUGCUCAGUUCAAAUGAAAAGCAUCUGCCCGCGAUGUCUGACCCAGAAAUUGAAUCUGCUUUCAAGGAUUUGAUGGCUGCUAGCUGGAGUGAACUUCCACAGUCUCUUGUAGAGGAAGCAAAGAAAGCCGUAUCAAAAGCUACCGAUGAUGCAGCUGGUCAAGAGGCUUUGAAAAAUGUAUUUCGUGCAGCUGAGGCAUGUGAAGAAUUUGGUGGAGUUUUAAUUACCCUGAGAAUGGCUCUUGAUGACCUUUGCGGUCUAACUGGUGAGGUCGGUAAUUAAUUCAUCCCCUUGUUGUUUUACUUUCUGCCGAGUUCGGUCUCUUACCAAGCCUAACUCUUGCAGAACGUGGGCCCCUUGCCUGGUUAUGUAGAAGAUGCUGUGAAAUCCACGUAUAGUCGAUACAUGACAUAUCUGGAAUCUUUUGGCCCCGAUGAACAUUACCUACGAAAGAAGGUGGAGAGUGAGUUGGGGACAAAAAUGAUUCACCUUAAAAUGAGAUGCAGUGGCAUAGGGUCAGAGUGGGGAAAGGUAUGUUUAUCUUGGUUGCUACUUUCUCCAGUAGCAUGAGUGAUGAUUUACCUCCAUACCAGCUUUAGGGUGAGCGUCCAUGGUUUUUAUGUGCUGUGACAGGGCAUUUCUUAGUUCCAUUUAAAAUGAUGUUUAGCUGUUGCCUUCUGUAUUAGCUGGUGUCGCAUAUGGAAUAAAAUGAUCAUACUUCUAACGACUUUUUAACCGAGUUAGUUUCUGCAGUUUCUUCUGCAUUGUGUCAUGAUUAUCAUUUUGAGCAACGAUAUAUUAAUCGUUAUAUGACGAUGAUGUUAGUCAAUGUCUUGCUUGGUACUCCCUCCUGUUUGUUUAGAAGGCACACACAUAUUCCUAGAUCAUCUAUUUGACCACCAAAAUAUGAGUGAUAUGCCACAAAAAGUAAUACUGUUAGAAACUUCUUUCGGAUACAAAUUCAAUGGUAUACUUUUUGUACAAUAUAAUACAUAUUGCAUUUGUCAAAUUGAUGAUCUAGGAUUCUGCAUGUGCCUUAUAUACUGAAAAUGAGGGAGUACAUCAGUACAAUACAAAGAAAGACAUGUGAUAGCUUCGAAUGACUAAAAGACUUCAAUGGACUAUGACCAUCAUCCUGUUUACUGUUUCAUUUGAUUUGUAAAACAAAUAUAUUCAGAAUUACACAAAUUUGGUACAACUUAUACUUCACAGAAAAAUAUUAGCGCAUUUCAGUUUAUCCUACAGUGUUAUAUGCCACAGAGCACUUGGUAGGGGAAAAUGCAUUCUAUUUUUUUGUAUUGUUUAUUUGUAAAUCUACUUGUAGUACUUCUAAUUGAACACUAUACACGCCGCUGAUUGCAUGUGCAUUUCAUAGAGAACGGUUUCUUUUUCCUGUAAUGUGUAACAAUAAAAAGAAACUGCUACUGGGUUACCACGAGGUAGCAGUUAGUGCAAACCCUGGCUACUGGCUAGGGUGCAAUUUUCACUCAGUUGAAUCAGACCGAAUUAUGUUGGUCCGGGCUAAUCUGAACUCGUUUUGAAAAUUUAAAGUAUUAGCAUGUUUCCUCUCCAUGUUUCACCAUAUGCUAAACGAAACACAGGAUUCCUGGACAGGUGUUAUCCGGUUUUCCUACAUGUUUUUUCAAUGUUUCACAUUAUCACUAGAAACUGGCCAGUACAGGCAGCUCGGCAAAGAUUAUAUAUGUGUAGGUUUCUUGACCCACUCGCAGCAGUGUCUGGUGUGCAAAUGGAAGAUGGAAUGCAAUUGUUCCUCUUGAUAUUUUGGUCUUGCAUUGAAUUGUUUUCUGUUGAAGACAUAACAUGUGCAGAAUAAUGUUCUGCCUGUACAGUAGCUGGUUGACUUGUAUUUCCUGAACUGAAGUUUAAUUUAUUCAGUAUUCCUUACUCCUGGAGUGAUUAUUUUGCUUGCAGAUCACCCUGAUUGGUACCUCAGGGAUCUCUGGGUCCUAUGUCGAGCUAAGGGCAUGAAGGAAGGUUGCAAAUGAGAACCAUGGCAGAACAUCGAUGAACUGAAGCAAAACCACAUAUCAGAACCAGGUGUUCCAUAUUCUUUUCAUUUCCUGUGUAGCUAGCGUGCAAAUAACAACUAAAUCAUCAAACAUCGGUGCAAACUUGAAGCAACUCUUUGUGUUCCAGUCUGCUGUAAUAAUAACAUAACGUGUCUCAGCUGGUUCGUGUCGGUUUUGUCUUGCUCCUCUGUGCUUUAAUAGCUUUAUGCUGCCCUAGUCUGGCGUGCGUGAAAUCUGUUGCUGCUGGCAUCUCUCAACACCUCAGAGAUUGUUUAGUUUUGCCCUAUGUUUUGUAUCCCUUCUUUUACAGCCCGAAGAGCCUGAUUUGGUGUCCAGACACGUGAACCGUGGAGUAUGCUGUGUUUUCUUAGGCGAACCAUUAAUAUUUGUUUUCUUAGGUGAUGGGUGACGAAAAAGAGUAGAAUACUUUACCUGCUAGUCAAUGUUGCAACUGCAUUGAGAUUUUGGGGAGCUCUUGGAGAUGCUCUCAGGAGUGAAGGGUCGGCAGUCAUAUUUAACAGAGCUAACUUUCCGUUCAGUUCUAACCCAUGUGAAACGGUGAUGUGAUACUGAAUUGGCAUGGAAACCAGUUGCUGUUCCCCUCCACAGACAUUAUGUCAAUGACAACCAAAUUGGCUGGCCGCGCCAAGGAAAGUCAAGAAUGGCACCCUCAAACCAAUAAGGUCCUCCUCAUUUCCAAACAGACGGCCGCGCGCGUGACCGACCGAUCGUUUACACGCGCCGUCGGUGCCCACGCACAUACAUAGAGUCAGCACUCAGCCACGUACACACAUACCCUCCUUUCGUCAAAGCGGGCACAUGGCGAGCGAGAAUUCCGUGCCACCGCCCCGGCCGUCCGGCGCUCGGCCGGCUGAGACGCCGGACGCCUAGGAAACCCAUCAGCCAACAGGGGCAGUACGUCGUGACGGGCUCGCUCAGACGGUGGCGUGCCGCGCGAUGGCUAGGCUUCGCUCCGUGCGGCCCGGGGCCUGGCCCGUGUACUACUACUGCUGCUGCUGUAUCUUCCUUCCGUCCGGUCGAAUUCAAUGGUUUAUCCUCCCGUUGCCCCGUUGGCCGCACCGCCCGCACGAUGAGUGGUCGAGUCCUACGCGCGCUCCCCGCGCGUGUCCAAGUGUGAGCGUACGUCGCGCUGCAGCCGGCUUUGGCGUGGUCCUCUCGAAUCUGCCGCUGGCCGGCUUCUGUACCGUGUUGCAGAUUUUGCAGCCGCCGCACGCACGUACGCACGUCGCACGUCUGUCGACCUCGCUGGGGAUAUCGACGCACUGCUGUUCUCCUACAGGGCGUUCCUCCUGGCCUUUGUGUUUUUUUUUUGGACGGCAAAGGUCUCAGGACUGACGGAUGCUACAUUUCCUUUGCAGUUUGCAUGCGACCUGCGACGCAAAUUUUCUCCGUACUACUUUACUGGGUGUGCGUAAGGUCUUCUCCUUUCCUGUAGACGUCGUGUGGACUUCUGGUCGAGAUGCCAUAUCUAGCAGACGGAUCGAAGUUAAUCGAAGCAAAAAUUUAGAGACGAGAGAUGUACACACUACGCAGCGACAGGGAAUCGUUGCUUCCUGUUCCUGGUUGACCGUUUCUCUUCCAAACGGCUUCUUCCGCGUGCCCAGCACAGCACAAAGCAACCAGUCGUCCCUGAACAGUACAAACAAUGGGCAGGGUCCAUUUGCACCACCGACACGCAUCCACGCAUGCAACUCGUUUCGCCCUGCUGCUUUCCUUUUUCUUCUCUUUCUUUUUUAUCCUUGUGAACCAGUCAAACCGUGUUUGUUGGUUUUGACGUCCCUGGGCUAUCCAUGCAUGAUGAUACAUCGCUUCGCCGCCGGACACGUCAAAGGUCUGCAAAUCGAUGAGAAGAAGUCUUCCUCUCGAGGGGAAAAAGUUAGGGCAGCAUGACCCGAAGCGUCAUGUCACGACUCCACCCCCCCUCGUCCACACCUGCUUGUCUUUCCAUCCAUCCUUCACCAAAUAUCACAGGCGAAAGCGCCGGCCGAGACCAUGCAACCACUCCCUCCACCUCUCUCAUCUGCUGAUCACAAGCUAGGUAUGAUAAACGCUCACCAUUUCGCGAUCGACGACAUGACAUCCUAACAUAAAUGUAUCUAAUUAGCGCCUCUUCACAAGAGCUGAUUAACGAUCGCCCGCACAGUGCACACACACGCUACUUGCAGCACAAAUUACGUCGCGGGUGGUUAAUCUUCUAAAUUAGAGGAAAGUACUAGAUGUAUAAAAAGGAAUGUUGGCUAAAAUUAGACUAAAAAAGGGUAGUCAAAGAAGGUGCAUCGAUUGUUGGCCAUGGCCAACAUUUUGUCAACCCUGGCCCUGCAUUUCGGCCCCAACUGGAUCGACGCUGCAGCAAAGUCAUCAUUAGCAGCCGACCAGUUUCAGUAAUCUUAGCCCGCGCGCUAUCUAGCUAGAAAGACAGAGGAAUGCAUGUAUCAUCCUUUAGCUUUACCAAAGGGAAAAAGAGAUUGCGUUUACAAAAGGAACGAAGAGCAUCAACCAACUCUGCACCAAAAGUAAGAAACCAAGGAAACUCUCCAAGAAUAGUUGUUGCACACACCAACCUACUCCUCCACAGUGAUCAAUGUCACUAACCACUUCUCCAUACACCAAAUUAAUCUACAAUCAAACUAACCAUAAGUGUAUCUAUAUAUGAUCUAUGUCUAUAUUUCUACUCUGCACAUACAUCUAAAUUUAGAAGGUAUCUUCAUGGCUUGUUCUCCAGCUGGCUCUCGAGGCCGACGGAGUUGUGCUGCCGCGACGGGCCGGACGGCGGCAUCUGGCCCCUCGGCAAGAACCCGAGGAAAUGGUUGGCUCCUCCUCGCUCAACCGGCCUCCCCCUGAAGGGCUGCAUGCCUCUCGUGGCCUCGCAGCUCGGCAGGACGAGGAGGAGAAGCGCUAGCAGGGAGAGCAGAAGAACCGGCUUCCUGCUUCUCGUUCGCCAGCUGCAGAGGCGACCCAUGAACAAGCAGCUAGCGAUGAAGGGAAAGCGUUGUGGACUUGGUUGUGGAUGAGGAAUGAGUUGGUGAUGAUGAAGGGUUUUUGGUGGAGUACGAAUGGCGAGGAGGAGGGACUAGGGAGGCGAUGGUGGUAUAUAUAUGGGCUUGGGUUGGGGAGAAUGUGCGUCUGACGUGUGGAGAGAGUAGUCUAAGUCAUUACGUUUAUAUAGAUCAGCUAGCUCGAUCUCCGUAGUCUCUACGGACUUGUUCACGGCAAUGGGGGGAAGAAAAAGUUGGAAGUUGUCAUCCACAUGCAUGAUGUCAUUUUCUGGAGCUCUGUUAAGGCUAGUUUGCAAUAAAUGGUUGUGACGAUUUUACCACCGUGAUGGAAAAAUUGUACUCCCUCUGUCCCAUUAUACGAGGCACGCACGCUUCCCAAUAUCAUCAAUUUAACUACCAAAAUAUAAGUUAUAUGAUGUAAAGAAUAUAUCAUUAGAAAGUUCAUUUGAUUACGAAUCUAAUGAUAUAGUUUUUAUAAAAUAUAAUUUAUAUUUUGCUAGUUAAAUUUGUAAUCUUCGAAUGCGUGCGUGCCUCAUAUAUUGGGACGGAGGGAGUACUCCAUACUAUAAUCGUCACCGUGGGUUGUACCAUGGAAGUUGUGAUGAUUUGACCAUAGUGUUAAGUUCUGUUAAGUCCUCAAUUUAAUUAGGUUUCUACAGUGCACAGGAAGAUAAUUGCUACUCCAUACGUGUGAGCGCACCUAUAUAUAGGCUUUUGUCUACAGAUGGUUCGAGUUGGUGCAGGGGUUGGGAAUAAAUGUGCUCCUCUACCUCUAGGGCUCUAGCCAUUGCCUAGAGGAGUAUACAUUUGUGAGAUCGACUUGGAUCAAGAACAGUACAACGGCGGUGAUAGACAUGGACGCUGGACGACUGGACGGUGUGGGGGGAUGGCAUGGUGGGGGCUGAGGAUGUUGGAGCGCAUUAAUAAGCUGGAGAAUGCACUCCCAUCUGUGUACCGGGAAAAGGAAAUGGAAGGGAGAGAUAAGCAAACGAAAAUGACAGGACAGGAGCAGGGAAGGUUCAUCGCUAAAGAAGAAAAGGAGGGCUCUGUCUCCUCUCCUCUGGGUAGGUGAGUGAGCGUUCUGCUGCUGUAUUUCCGCCCCCACAUGGAAUUCAAUGGCCGACUUGAGGAUUGCAUCUGAUGCAUAUGUUUGGAGUCUGGAGAUGCAUUUAACAAGAGCAUGGCCAGUGGCUAAUCUGCUCACAGAACAAUACAGUGCUGGAGUUAAAGGAGAUGUGGGGGCUACGAGGAAUUGGAGUCAAAUAUACUGUGCAAUACGAGCGUUAAUUCCUUCGAAUUUAUAUGGAUUGAUUAUGUGCAUGGAAGAAGAAGCAUUUAAAGUGUAGCAUGCUUCACGAGUGAACGUACCACGGCAGGAUAGCUGUCUUGCGUACUUCUCGUAGACUCGUAGUUGCGUGGAGGAAAGGAAUAGAUUGACACAGUGUGCACGACGCGUGCGCCUUUUUCCGACCGAAAAGCAAUUGCUGUGUGAUCUUUUGCUGACGGAAAACAGCAGUCCAGAGUAUUGGGGAGCUCUUUGCUUUGCAAACAAUUAUGUAAUGAUUUGCUUCGAUGAUAAGGCUCCGGACAAACGGCCUAAAGGAACAGCCAUGGAUCGAUACAUAUAUCCAACGAAAGAAGCGACAAGACAUCCAAAUAUAAAGGCGACGUAAUGCCGCCUAAAACAAUCAUAUAAAGUAGAUAAUUGGUAACAACAUAAACUAGGAGGCAAAACAAAAAGGCUACUCCUUGAAUGGGGAGAGAUGCAGUGGCUUAUGCCUGCAAUCCGGGCUUACGGUCUCCUCAACGGCCAUGCACAUCCAGUGAGAAUGGCACACACUCCUUAAUGUACAUCCAUCCACAUGGGCUUUUGGGAGUACGUGUGUGGUGUAACAUGCAAACAUUCAAAACAAAAAAAUAAAUCUGUAGAGGGAGGUCUCCAUUCCUAUGCCCCGGUCGAUACAUGCAACAGUUUUUAUUAAAGUGGUUUGUUUAUUUUAAAAGUAACAACAUAGCGAUAGAAAUCAAAUAUUACAACCCGUAGGUCAAAUAUCCCAUUACUACUGAUCGUUGUCCAUUCGAUAAAUAUUUUUAUUUUUUAACUACAAAUUACACAAAACACUAAAAUCAUGAUAAUUUUAUAGGUGUGCCAUUUGUAUGUGAUAUUAUAUCAUAAUAAGAGUUUAGAACUUAUGUCAUGGUAGUGGUAGGUAGGUUGGAAUAUUUGAUUUCAAAUAAACUCAAAAUGAAAUUUGGAUCAUGAGCAUGACUGGUCGUCAGGAAGCAAGCUUAAUCGAUCCUAAUGCACCUAGAAAAGUAAAAUUUACUAACGUCACUACACGCAGAAGUUCAGAAGCUCAUGCUGUAUUUUUUUAUGCGGUUCCAGAUAGUAGUUCAUCAUUAAAGAUUAGAAGGCGAGCUGACUAGUCGUGAUCAACGUACUUUUGCAUCGGAUUGAUUGUUGUUUCAUGUAAUAUUAGCAAUGUCUCUGAAAUUAUACCAACCAACAUGUUGAUAUCUACCUAAGACGUUUGACCAUACAUGAUGUAGAUCACACUGUACAUAAAAUUAUAUUUUUCGUGCUGAUCGAUCGGUCGUGGUGCUGGGUAUGUCAUGUACGUCUACUCCAAGUAUAUUAGUAGGUAGAUAUGUGACGAUAAUAAAUUAUAGCAUGAUAAUAAAUUUUAAUUGACUUGACUAUUCUAUCGAUACUCGGAUCAAAGUUUAGAUCGUGAGCUAAUAUUUCUUUCUUUUUUGCCUUAGCGGCAGUAUUUGAUUAGUGAGUAUCUGGGCGGAUAGCUUAUCAGUGCUCGUGCAUUAUGUUAACUGGACGAUACCCCGCACGUUGCGGCAGAACUUUUCGUAUUUCAAUCUUUUAUAGCAUGUAUGAAGAAACACAUGCAUUGCAUAAAAACAGACAAAUAAGACACAUCAGUUAAAGAAUAUAAUAGAAUAUUGAUAUGAACAUUUGAAAUGUGGACUGAAUAUAUCUUUAUACCAACUUACAACGACAUCUCACACUAACGUAGCAUUCCUGACUUCACCUCACCAGUAAGGUUGGCUUAUAGUUACCUGAAAAGAGACAUUUAUUUAUCUGCCAAGAAAAUUUUAAAUUUACUUAGAUCAGAGUAUUAAGCAUAGGAAGGACAAAUAUGGUCAUAUGAUAGGAGGGACAAAGCACACCUGAAACAUGAUAUAUGUAUGGUCCGAACAUUCGAAGACAGGAUAAUACUCUGGUAUUUAUCUUUUAAAAUUACAAAGAAAGUAGUGGGACACACCAAAUAGAACAAAAAAAGGAUAUCUAUAUGGUAUAAAAUGUACCUUGCCUACAAAAAUUCUCAACAGAUGAGUAUCUCUUCUUUAUUCUGAAGAAAGCAAUGGUUAGAAAUUAAAAUCAACAAACUACAUAAUCGUGUCUUUAUUGUACAUUGAUCAGAUGAUCGAUGCAGCUAGCUAGUCUUUGAUUUUCAUGAGAAUAUGCAAUUAGCAAUUUAGGCUUAGAAGACUGAACUAAACUACUGUUUGUUACGUACCUCAGUCCUGCUUGGUACUCUAGCUUGAAAGAAACAGAUGCACGCCUUAAUACUGAAUUGGAGUAAAAAUAGACUUAGGGCCAAACCUGGAAACAAUAGGAGAGUAGCCUCUUCGUAUUGUAUUUACAUGAAGGGAACUUGCGCCAAUACAUGCAGCAUCUGAUCUCAUGACGUUGUUUGAUUUCAUCUAAGAAACUCUUAGCUUCACAAAUAAAAAGAACCAAUAGAGGAGAUCAUGGAUGAAUCAUAAAUCUAGGGGUCAAUCUCAAUCUUAAUAAAUAAAAAUUACAACCAAAUGAUCAGGAAAUCAACCUUAUACCUCACAAAUCUCCUCUAAAUAUAUUAGUUCCAACCACUCCAUCGAGAUUCCAUGGGCACGGAAAGAUCUCCCAGAGUGGCCGUUCGGCGGCGCGUGAGGAAGGCAAGGGACAGGCCGGAGCAGUCGGCCGCCGCCAUGGCCGAGCCGUCGACCCCCUCUUUUCUCCCCCUUUUCAUGGUUAGUUGUUGCCGGAUGCGGUGGAGAAGAAAAUGGAAGGAGGACUAGUUGGAAACUUGGAAUGGAUUCAAUUCCUUUCUCCCCACCGUAUUCUUGGGGGUAGUUUCGGCACAAAAGUUACACGUCCUGUAAAUACAAACAGAGGGAUGGAGUAUGUACUGUCAACGUAAAUAUGUCAUGGGAUAUGUCAUCAUAUAUACUUCCUCGGUCUCUCAAAUUAGGACGUGCAUUGUUUCCUUUGACCAAACUGUUGAUCAUGAAUUAGUUUAUUAUUUUUCUUUUCUGAAGUAAAAUCGAUAUCAUAGCAUUCAUAUUCAAAAUCAAUUAGAUAUGAUUAUGAUUUGUACUCCACAAAAAGUCUACACGUUGAUGGAAUAAUACUUAGUUAAAGAUUUGGUCAAAGAAAACAAUACACAGCCUAAUUUAAGAAAUGGAGAGAGUCUAUUAGUUGAUCCCCUGAAUCCAGUAUAAGCAACGGAGCUACCCCUGAAUCCAGUAUAAGCAACGGAGCUAACAAAUCACUUCGCCAAAUCCUCAAUGAGUUAAGUGUGAGUGACUAACGUAGCAAAACUUUGGUAAUUGCAUGCAUUUGCGAUGCGACAACUGAGAUGGCGACAUGUACACGUCAUUUUCGUGCAUGCGUGGCAAUCAAUUCGGGGAUGGAUAUGAACUUUGAGCAUCGGCAGCUAUGGUUUGGACCUUGGACAUGGUUUGGUCUGUAGGCCAGUAGGGAGGCAGUGUAGCUACGUCGCGCGCCCCUUUCGUUUCAUGACGUCCAAACAAGCAAACACCGACGAGCUUGAAUAUUUCGACGCAAUCACUUACGCAGGCCGGCCGGUACUACAGUUCCGUGGAUUCGAAUCAUUCGAUGGACAGUUUGAGUUGACGGGCACGAUUGCACCAGGGUUCUUACUUCUUAAUUUGUCCCGAGAAAGAAAUGCGCAACAGACCAAGGAGUAGCAGCCAUUGAUGACAACGAGAGAAAGAGCGACGAGUAGGCAGUAACCCAACAGUGCAGUGCUACGUGCAGAUUGUGCAGAGCAGUGUACAGAGUUUGUCAAGUCCAUCUUCUUUGCUCUUUAUUUCCUUCCUUUUUCAGCAUGCCAACACUACAUCUGAAAAUCAACCCAAUUGAUUUCUUUUAGGGGUCAGUACUGACAGUUUUUUUUAGAGCAACGUCAGUACUGACAGUUAAGCACACCACCAAUCCUGCUGCUGAGACGAAGCCUGUUUGGAUUGCGGAAUGCUGAAAUCUUCUAUCAGUCCAGUCGACUUGGUUUGGGCUGGGCCUUGCAUAUUUACCAACAGCUGUAUUAACACGUCACAGAUAUGGUCCUGAUUGCUUCGGUCCACGAAUGGAAACUCAAACCCAGUUUCUGGAUAAGCAGUAGCCCCUAAAACAGGGUCCCUAAAUCCUGUUUAGGGCCUUCCUCCUAAAAUUUUAACCCCCUAUUUCAUCUUGCACUUCAGCAUCAGUCCCUAGGCCUAUUUAUUUUCUCUUAUACACUGACACAUGGGACCCACUUGUCAGUGGGUCAAUUCAUCCUUUCAUCUUCUUUCCCAGCAACAGAGGAGAGCAUGGGGGCAAGCCAAGCCGAGGCCAUGGUGGGCUGGUGGCGGCGGCCGAGCGCACUGGCAGGCUAGGCAGCGGUCGAGUGCGGUGGUCGACAGGGGUGCUCGUACCGGCGCAGGGGAGCGAGAGGGUGGCGGCGGAGAGCAGGCACGACAGUGGUGCUCGUACCGGCAUUGGGGAGCGACGCGCGCACGCGGCGGAGAGCGAGGGCCGCGUCCUUGCGGCGGUCGGGGGCGGCAGCACGGAGGCGGGGGAGACGGCCGGGGAUGACGGACUCGCACGGUGGUAGGGGAGGUGGCGUCGCGGGAGGUCGACGGCGGCAGGCGGAGGCAUCAUGGGAGGUCAGCGGCGGCGGGCGGAGGCGGCACAGGAUGGUCGUAGCCUCCACAAGAGGGCAGAAGGUGACGUGGCGUGGGAAGGAGGAAUAGGGACUCCCUUCCGGGUCCCUGGGAAUAGGGGCUUGAGGGGUGUAUUUAGGUGCCUCCCUACUUUAGGGACUCAAAUAGGGUCCCUGCUGAAGAGCUUUUUUUGGCUCCAGCCUCUAAAAACGGGAUAGGGACCCUGUUUAGGGUCACUGCCGAAGAUGCUCUAAUCAUCUUUGGCUAUGCGAUUCUCUAAGAAAAAGAAUUUUGCGGCCGUGCUACUUUUUUUUUUCUGGUAGUCACCAUCUACCGGUUCUAAAAACAUGUACUCUAAAAAUAAUCUUUCUAGUAGACUAAUACUACUGGUUCUAAAAGUUAAUUUAAUGGUAUAUGCGUAUCUAGACAAAACUGAGACAUUUAAUAUGGGACAUAGGGAGUAAAUAAGCAAAAUCCUGAUAUAAUAUCCCAUUUGAUGAGGAAAGAUGGAGACAUUGUAUCUUAAUCUUAAUCCAGACACCGUUCUUGCCUUAAAACUUAAAAACACAUGAAUUUUUUAUCACAACAAAUCAAACAAGAGCAUAUUUAAAUAAAACAUUAAAAUACAAGUUAUUAGAGAAUUUGUCUUUAACCAUAUACUUAAUAUAAAUGAUACGGCCUAAGAUAUGAUGCAUUAGGAGGGUCUUGGACCUUCAAGUAACAAAACAUGAAUACCAGGAACUAAUAUUUCUUAAUGUUUUUUUUCUAAAAAAAUAUAUAUGCCCUCUAAAAAAAUCUUAAACAAGAAGACCAUUUUGGACUACGGAAAUACGGAGAUGCACAUGUUUAGUGUUACAGAACGUACACCUACCUAAUUGCGCUUGUCUAUACCCAAAAUUGCACAAAACAAAACAUGUAAAAUCUUAGACUCCCUUUCUGUAACUAAUUUUUUUUUUGCAAAGAAGUAAUCAUGUGCAAUUUUAGACUUUAAAUGUGCAACUCAUGUUUGUAAGUCCUAACUCAGGCCCAUUUAUAAGCCCAUCAAGACUUGAGAGACAGUCGAGCUGCGUUUUCACCACGGGAAAACAAACUUCAGAGUGCUGUAUGCUCAAUGAAAUGUCUAAAUUACACUCCGGCCGAGUUGGGCUUUCUCAAAAAUACUACAGGCGCCGUGGGCAAAACUACGAUGUUCUCUGGAAAAAUGGAAGUUCGGACUACCCCAAUCAGCAGGGGACAGUUCGCUGGUGUCACAUCAGUCAGUGAACACGCUGAUUUAGGCCAACCAUCGCCGUAGCUCCACUAAAUUACGUCCAUUGAAGUCUCUGCGCUCGUUUUAUGGCCGGACACACGCACUGAUUUAGGUUCCUUCAGUCCACACAGCACUGCACACGGGUCACCGAUUAGGCGCGGGCGCAUCGAGCGCUUUCGUGCGCAUGACUCCACUCCUUCCCCAUUAGGUCGCGUAUACACGUCUAGGACUCGGCUAAUUAAUCGCCCGUUUUCCACUUACUACUGUACCACGACGUCGUUGGGUCUGGACUGCCGCAGCGGUUGUGAACCAAUGCGACUGCUGAUUAGUGACCGUUGGUGCUGAUCUUUUUAUAGUUUGCUGUUUUUUGUAUGGAUGCGGAAGCAACUUGCUUGGCCUUGGUCAAUGAUUGCAUCCACCGAAGUAAUGUGAGUAUUUAUGGUGCCAGAUCAUGCAGAGCACCCGGCUCAAUCUAAAAGUCCCUUGAUCUCUGAGAUUUUGGUAAUUUUCAAUGGUCCAAAACUUUUGAAAAAUAUUUCACCAAAGUUAAAUAUCUUCAAAUUGCUAUCUUAGCACAAACUAUAAGGAGGUGGAAAGUUUUUAACGAGGAGGGGACAGACCGCUCUCACCGAUUGACAUUUUAUUAGAGUAAAGAUACUGAACAACAGCUCAAUAUGCUCCAUUAAUUCUAACUUCUAGGUAUAUAGGGCCCCACUAAUUCCUUGUGAAUGUAAGAUCUCGUUAGUUAAUGGACGUAAUUGAACGAUUUUGUUAGUUAUCAACGUAUAGAUGGUCAAACCAUGUAUUUACUAAAUUCCACAACAAAUAAAAAAGAAAUAUGUAUUUUUGGUCCCUCAGUUGCCAGCAAGUAUACAUAUGAUCCCUCAACUCAAAACUGUAUACAUUUGGUCCGGUUGUGAAAGACAAAAAUAUUCGGUUUUGACAAUCGAGGGACCAGAUGUAUACGGUUUCGAGUUAAGGGAUCAUUUUAGACUGUGCUAUCAAUUAAGGGAUCAAAAUAUAUUUUUCUCAAUAAAAUUGUGAAAGAGAAAUAAUGGCCUUCACCACGUACCACGAAUCAAAAUUUGUAAGGUCCCCAAGCGUUUUUGUAUACAAGGAGACUAAAUGUGUACUCUAGCAAAAUACUAAUCACAUACUCGCUCCGUCCAACAAAGGAUGUCUUAAUUUUGACUAAAUUUGAAUGCAUUUAUACACUAAAUCAUGUCUAAAUACAUCCAACUUUAACAAACUUGAGACAUCUUCUGUUGGACGGAGGAAAGUACAUGCUUUUACAAACUAAAGGCACUGUUUUUUGCGAGAAAAAACAAAGGCACUUUGGUUGCGAUGGGGAUCGGUUGGGUGAUCUUUUGGACCUUCUGGUCAAAGUGCGCAUCCGAACAUAUCAGUAUGACCUAUUGCUGGCCUGUUUGCUUGGGAGACAAAAAUGGUUGGAGAAAAGUGUUGGGUGCACCCCCCCUCAACUAAAAGUGCACUAGCGCUAGUAUGUAUUUAUUUUUCUUUUUGUAAAUACGGUAUACACUAGUCGAAUAGCUCAACGUGAGCACAAAUGCACAAUGGUGCAUUGAUGCUUAAAUUAGAUAGCAAUAAUGUAUGGGGAGACCUGUUUUUGUGGCACCACUAAGGAGACGAGGGGGACAUCUUUUGCAUGAUGAAAGGAUGCAUCAUUCCGUUAAAACGCAAUGAUGAUUAUUUGGAUGUUUUGUGCUCUGCCGUAUAACCAAAAUCGUUUUCCCUCUUAGCAGUGGGGCUGGUCACAAAGUGAUCCUGAACCGAGCUCUAUGAUACGUCGGAAACUAUCAUUUCCAUCCCUGCAAUUGCUUCUGAAUUAAUGGCACGAGGAAUGAACUGAAGUACAAAUUUCGUGAAUCUUGACUAUUGAGGCUAUAACCGGAUCAGCUUCCUGUGGAAAUUGCAUAGGUAUCGGUCACGAUCUAGCAACCUUCGCUUGGCUUUCACACUCUAUGGAUACUGAUAACUGGAAAACGCAAAAAAGGAGAAGGAACUCCAUGUCCAAGCGGGCACUACAAAGAGCAGCCAUGUACUUGCUGUUCUAUGGCCUCGGCAUCACUCGAGAAUAUGUUCCUCCUUGCAAAAAGAAGAAGGAAAAAUAGAGAAAAAGGAAGAAUAUGUUCGUAUGAUUAUUGUAAACCUAGGUCACUGGACUUUGACUAGCAAGAACAAUGUAAAGUAUGGACGAAACUGCUCCUCCAGUUCAUUUGGAGACCUUAUUGAGAUCCCAAUUAAGGAGCAGGUUCGAUGAGACACGGACUUGAUACGAUUUUUGACUACGGGUCUUGCGAUGUCGCCGACUUGCCGUUCACCUUUUUUCUGUUUUCGGUGCAGCUUCACAUGACCAACAAAUCGCCGUGUAUUACACGAGCAGUGCCACUAGAUUAGUACUGUAUUAACCUACUCACGAUGUCGUCGUGAACUAGGAUCGCUGCACAUCCCAGAAUUAAACUACAAAAAUAAAGUGCUGAAUCGGUCGGGCUAGAGUAGAGCCAUUCCUUUCCCCGUCGUGUUUUUGUUCCUUCAGCUCCUUGUGUAUUACGCCAUGCUCAGUGCAUUGUUUCUGUUCCUUCCGAUUCAUAUUAAUCGUCAAAAUAUACAUGUAUUUAGACGUUUUUUGUCGAAAUAUUACAUGUAUCUAGACGUUUUUUAGGCAUAGAUACAUCCAUAUUUGGGCAAAUUUGAGACAAUUAAUAUGGAUCGGAGGGGGUACCAUUUUCUUCUGGCGAUCUUUGUUGAUAUUUCCUUCUUUUCAAAAAGCAAAUGCAUAUUUGAUUUUCUUAAGACAAGGAUUUACUAAGGAAUUACUUUGCUAAUUUGUGUUUUUAAGACAUGAAAUUUAUAUCAAUUAAUUCGUUUUCAAAAGUUUUUACUGAUAAUUGUGAUUUUCUGUCGUAUAAAUUACAUAUUGACAAAGUUAUUAUUGGUCAAGAUCUUGUCUUAACGAAACCAAAUAUGUUAACAUUCGUGAAAAUGAGUGAAUACUACUGACUUAAUACACAAUAAUUACAUCAUCAACGACGAAGCUCAUAAGAGAACUGGUGAGCUGACUUAUUCUGGAAACUCGUUUCUACUGACUUAAUACACAAAAUCUUUUAUAAAAAAGUGUAUUCUCAUUUUUAAUCCCUCUAGAAAACUUUGUGACACUUUAUAUUUAUCGUGUUGAGCAUAAAUUCCUCAAUAUUAUCACAUUUAAAAUAUUGUCCAACCUUUACUCCAGUUAAGGUUUUGGCCUAUGCUAACAGGAUGGUCCAACCCUUCAGAUUGACGGGCCGCUUACUCGGCUACCAGGUCAGAGUCAUUUUGCUGUGUGCAUUCGAGUGCUCCGGAAGGGACUCGCGGCGCGCCCAACAUUGUUAAGUCGCACCCUUCCCAGUCGGGUUGCAGUGAGCACUCUCUCCUCUCCUCGCACGGGAGAGUUUUGGUGAAUGCCAGCAAUUGCCAGAGAACAACUCCAUCCUUGGGUAAGAAAAGUGUCAUCGGUCCAUCGUAAACAUUUAUCUACCGGCUCCGCUGCUAGCGGUGGCAUGCCAUCAGCCUGCAACCACCCAUGUGCUGACACGUGUCAUUUUAUAUCAUAUGCCAUCAAAUACAUGGUAUACCAUUGACUUGUACCAUAUACUAAAACCAUAUGCCAUUGACUGAUACCAUAUACCAUUGACUCAUACUCUUUCCGUCUCAUAUUAAGUGACUUUCUAUUACAUGUAUCUAGACGCUUUUAAAGCAUAGAUACUUUCAUGUUGGGGCAAAUUUGAGUCACUCAAUAUGAAACUGAGGGAGUAUCAUAUACCAAUAUCAUAUAUCAUUGACUCAUAUCAUAUACCAUUGGCGAGAAAAUUAACCACCACAAUUGGGGCACAUGUCUAGAAAAACCACCUCUUUAAUUUUUUUUCAAAUUACCACCACUUUUGUGCAUAAACGUACUCCCGCGCACUGAUUAGCCACUUAAUACCGUUUUGAUGCAAAGUCUGACAAGAGAGCCCACAUGCCAGUGCCACCGUGGCGCCACGUUGGACAACCCGUCCGAGCUGUCCGAACCCGACCACACCCGAGCCUAAAAUGGCCCUGUCCCCACGCUGUCCCAUCUCUAACCGACAGCCACUGCUCCGACGGGGCCCGCCACCCAUCCUCCUCCAUGCCGAGCUGCCCUGUCUCCUGCUCCUCCGGCGAGCUCGAGCCGCCGCAUCCACCGCUCAAGAUCCGUGCCCAUCUCCUGUACCGCGCACGCUCGUAGCAUCUGCCGCUCACUCGUCUUCUCCGUCUCCGGCAAAGACGCCGCCGCUCCUUAUCUCCGUCCCCACAGCCUUCCGUGCCUCUCCGCCGUGCACAAGAGCUGCGCAUCAUCGGCCCGAGUGCGAAGCCGCGCUCUCCCGAGCCCGCGCCCCGGCAGCUCCCGCUCACUCUUGUCACGCAGGUGCUCGUCGCCACAGUGGAAUCUCCCCGAGCCGUCACUUGUUGUUGCUGCUUCUGCAGAUGGUCACUGGCGGCGAGAAGCAGAGCUGCGUCAAGUGGCGCAUGGAGUAGCAGGUCUCCUCCUCGUCCCGCUCGUCGUCGAUGGUGGUGUGGAAGCCCGUCUCGAGCGUCGUGCUCGCCAGGAUGAGAAGGGGAGGGGUUGGGAUCGGGGGAGGUUGGUGACGGCGCGAGGCCCGUGGAGGCGGAGCGCGGCGGAUUCGUAGGCGGAGGCGGCCUCCUCGCCGGUGCCACAAGCGCCGCCGCUGGCCCCUGGUCCACUCCCUCGACCCCCACUGCCGCACGCCGCGGAGCACCACCAGCCUGAAGGUUCGUCUUCCUCUUUCUUCUCCCCGCCUCAUCUCUGCCCUGCUCGCCCAUCGGGAGAUCUCCCGCACGCACCGCCACAGGCCGCAACUGUUGCUCGUAGUGGUCGCCGCCGUCCAGGAAGGGCACAUACACCACACGCGGCCGUCGCCGUCUCUGUGUACCUCUGCGCAGCGCGUCCACCUCCUUGAGCAGGUCGAACUCGAGCUCGACGGCGCGGGUCUACGCGGAAGGCUUAGGGGCGCGGGUCUUGAGCGGGGGUGAUAGUGGCUUGAGCUCGGCGAGCUCGCCGAAGUAGGAGCAGGAGGCGGCUCGGUUGAGGAGAAAACGAGGGAGAGAAGAAGGAAAGCAGGGGAGAAGGAGAAAGGGACGAGCGUUGUCCAACGUGGCGCCACGGUGGACCUGACAUGUAUGUCCCCUUGUCAGUUUUUCCGUCAAAAUAAGAUCAACAUCGAAAUCAGUGCGCGGGAGUACAAGGGACCAAGAAAGUGGUGGUAAUUUGAAUUUUUUUUAAAUGUGGUUUUCCUAGACAUGUGUCCCAGUUGUGGUGGUUUUAAGUAAUUUUCUCUACCAUUGACUCAUACCAUAUAUCAUUACCUGACUCAAUGCCACGUGGCAGACAUGCAGAACACUGGCACAUGGCGGAGCCGUUAAAGUCGCUGCUUUGAUCAGUCCAUGUACUCUCAUGCUUGCUGCUUUUUUUUUGCUAGCAGUUUACAUUAGUUUGCCAUAUUUGGUGAUUGCAUACAAUUGUUUGUCGAUUUUAGGGUAAUAGCAAUCAUGGAGUAGUAUGCUACGUUGAUUAUCGUUGGGAUGAUAGGGUUUGCUAUUUCAAAGCGCUAGAAGUACGAGCAAACUUGGGAGAGAGGAUGGCUGGUAUGAGCCUAUAAGAGCAUCACCAGCAGACUACCUAAAUGUGAGCCUCUAAAUCUUCAUAUGGGGACUUCCUAGUAUAGAUUCCCUCCCCAAAUUUGUCAUCUCCACAUCAGACUACCUAAAUCUCACCCCCUAUAAUUCAUUCAUCCAUAUUUUAUUCAUAUGCUUCAACCGUUUUUGUAAAAAAUCUAUAUUUCAAACUACUUGACUUGAAAUUAUAUAUUUGAAAUGCUUAUAAUUUAAAUUGAAUAGUUUUAUUCUUAUAUUCAUUUAAGUACAUAAACUAUAAUAUUAUAAUUUAAUUAUCAAACGGCUAUAUUCUCAACGGCUAUAUUUUCAACGGAUAUAUUUCUUGGUCUACAUAUAUGUGGAGCUCUGAAGCCAUUGUCCAUUCACUCUCCACCACAUCUCUUAGUCCAUUCACUCUCUACCACAUCUCUCAGCCUCCUCUCACAAAAAUGAGUUGUAGCUUACUUUGGCAAUACAUGAGUUCGUCGUCGUCGUCGUCGUCGUCGUCGGAGGAGGAGGAGGAGGAGGAGCAUGAAGAUGACGGCCAUGAACUAAUGGUUGCCACGGCGGCAAUAGUUCUCGACGCGAACACGCGGUUCAAUGCUCGACGCCGUCGCGGUUCAGUGCCGGGUUGUCAGGUAAUUAACCGUGAUACGGCAGGUGGGCAUGCUAGAUUAUUCGAAGACUACUUCGCGCAGCAUCCUGUCUAUGGCGCCUCGUAUUUCCGCCGAAGGUAAGCAAUGCGUACAUAUGGUUUUUACUUGCAUUUAUAUUGUUCCUCUAGUGUUCAACUAAUUACCUUUGUUUUCACAGGUUUUGAAUGUCUCGGCCGUUGUUUUUCCGCAUAGUGAAAGCUGUGCGGGAAGACGAUAGCUAUUUUGUGCCGAAAAGAAAUGCUGAUGGAAAAUUUGGGUUAUCAUCUCUUCAGAAGGCUACCGCAAUGUUCCGAAUGUUGACUUAUGGUGUAGCAUCGGAUGCUACAGAUGAGUACGUUCGGAUUGGAGGAAGUACUCCUUUGAAAAGUAUGAAAACAUUUGUUAGAGCUAUUGUUGAAGUUUCGGAGAUGAGUAUCUUAGAUCUCCAAAUGAAGCCGAUACCGCUAGAUUGCUUGCAAUUGGAGAGAGCAGAGAGUUCCAUGGAAUGCUAGGGAGCAUCGACUGCAUGCAUUGGUGGUGGAAAAAUUGCCCUUCAUCAUGGCAAGGUAUGUAGUGCAUGAGCCCACAAUCAUUCUAGAAGCUGUUGCUUCACAAGAUCUUUGGAUUUGGCAUGCCUUCUUUGGUUUACCUGGCUCUCUUAAUGACAUCAAUGUUCUUCACCGUUCCCCGAUCUUUGCAAGGCUAGCAGAAGUGCAAGCUCCACAAGUUAAUUUUACAGUAAAUGAUAACAAUUAUACAAUGGGGUACUACCUUGCCGAUGGCAUAUACCCGCAGUGGGCAACAUUGGUGAAGACAAUACCCUCUCCACUAGGGCAGAAGAAUAAACAUUUUGCAAAAUGUCAAGAAGCACAUAGGAAGGAUGUGGAACGAGCAUUUGGAGUGCUUCAAGCUCGUUUUGCAAUUGUUCAUGGACCAGCAAGACUGUGGGAUCAAGAAGUACUCCAUGAUAUCAUCAUAGCUUGUGUUAUCAUGCAUAACAUGAUAGUUGAAGACGGGUGAGAUGAAGGUCCGCAAGACUACAAUUACGACAACAUGGGAGAAAAGGUUAUCCCUCUCAUGCACAAACAGCUGAAUUCUCGAACUUAAUUCAAAAUCAUCUUGACAUCCGCAACGCACAAGUCUACUCUCAACUAAAGGAUGACCUGGUUGAGCACCUAUGGCAAAUUUAUGGGGCAAUGUAGUGUGCAAUGUCGUAUGUAGUUAGAGUUAGGAUCUAAGUCGGAAAGGUUUUGUCCCGAAGAAGGUUACCUUGCCGACUUGAUCUAUUUAGCAUGUACUAUUUUUACAUUAUGGAGAGGUGUAAUAUAUAUUAUGUAUGGUACUGUAUGCAACUACUUUAACGAAUUAUGCCAUACUCAAAUAUUUAAUACAACAACAUAGUCCAUACUCAAAUAUUUAAUACAACAACACAGUCCAUACUCAAAUAAUGCAUAGAAUAGCAUAGUCCAUACUCAAAUAGUGCAUAGAACACCAUAGUCCAUACUCAAAUAGUUAAUACAACAACAUACUCAAAUUGAUCUUUUAGAUCGUCGGUCAAUGAUAUCACGCCGUAGCAUCUUGUAGUAUUCUUUUUGGUCAUCAUCCAACGAACUAAGAUCCUUAUUUAUUAUCUCCAUUUCCAUCUUCCUUUCGUCAAAUUCAUAGUUCCUUUUCUCCAUUGCAAGUGCUCCAACAUAACGCUUUUCCUUUGCAUCCUCUCUUGCUUGUCUUGCUGUUUCUCUUGCCAUCUCUCUUUCUUGUCUUGCUGUUUCUCUUGCCAUCUCCAUCUCUGUCCUCUUUGAGAACUCAACAUCCAAAGCCAUCACAACAUUACUAUCUUCUAAAGAGGUAACAUUUUUACCUCGACGUUGCCGUUCUUUCUCCGCCUUCUUCCCAAUAGGUCUCUUCAUGUGAUCCGCUUUGACAGGAGAUGUAGUUUCAAAGUCAUCAAGAUGGAUCGUGUUGGCUUCUUGAGUAGACAUGUUUGGACUUGCAUUGGAGCUUGACUUCUGCUUUUUAUUACUUUGAGAUGACCUAUCAACUUGAGCUAACCACUUUUGUUCGAAACGCAACAUGUUCCAACAAUGCAUUAGCACAAACCCUUUAUUGGUCUUAUCUUGUGACUUGAACAAUUUGAGAGCAUCAACAAUCUGCACAAGUGAACAUGUCUCGGUAUAUUUGCACCUAACAUAUGAAUAUACAAUGAAAUUAAACAACUAGGUGAACUACCUUGUCUUGCUCUGUCUUCCCGCUUUCGCGCCUAUGCGUAAUUUGCUCAUAACAUCCACAAAACCUACCCACUUGUUCUUUCACAGCGGACCAACGAUGCGAUAAGGAAUUGACAUUGUGAUCACUUCCUUCUGGCUUGUGGGAUUCAUACUCCUCAUGAAUCCUAUUCCAAUAAGUGGCAUUCUUUUGUUCAGUACCUACUAUUGGAUCCAUACUAGCAUGCAACCAUGCAACCACCAAAACUUCAUCUUCUUUAUCGGUGAAAUUUCCUUUCCUCUUGUUAUUUGCUUUUACUGGAGGAGUAGGAACUUCAGCAUGUAUUGGUGUAUGAUCUGCUGCGUACAAACCCAGAGGACUACUCAAAUUUUGGCCCCAAGCUUCUUCGUUGUAUCCUUCACUCAACAUAUUUGUGUACAAACCCAUAGGAGAACUGUGAUCAUCCAUCAAGUGUAUGAACUGCUACCAUGAAAGAAAUUAUAAGCAAUUUAGUCACAAUUGUAUGAUCUAAUCUCAUGAAAGAACUACUAAAUUGAUCUACCAAUUUAACCUCUUCUCUCUUCUCUCUUCUCUCUUCUUUCUUCUUUCUCAUCUCUCUGCUAUCUCUUUCUCUCCUCUCUGUUCUGCCAAAGCCCCCGACCUCACCUCCCCUCCUCUCUGGCUCUCCAUUCUGCCCGCGCGCCCCCGACCCGCCCAGCACCGCCGCCGGCCUCCCCAUCUCGCCCAGCACCGCCUCCAGCUUUCGCAUCUCGCCCAGCACCGCCGCCUCCCCAUGUCCCCCAUCCCGCCCAGCACCGUUCCCGGCCUCAACAUCUCGCCCAGCAGCGCCUCCCCAUCCCGCCCAGCACUGCCGCCAGCCUCCCCCAUCUCGCCCGCCACUGCCGCGACCCGUCCCCGACCCAUCCUCGGCCGGUGACGCCUGCCUCCCCAUCGGCCAAAAACGCGAAUCGAGGGAGAGAAGGGAGGGAAGGAGGACGAACCUUGGCGCGAAUCGGAGCUGGCCGUUGAGAUCCUUGCUUCCGGGAGCCCCUAGCCGGCACCUCAGUUUGGGUCGUUGGGAGGGCGAUUUGGGGGCGCCCUCAGUUUCGCGAGGAAGAUAGGGAGACUGCUGGAUGCAUUUUUUUUUUUGCUAGAAAACCUAUAUUUGAGGAUAGGGGAUGAAGUAGGAGCUCUCUCGGUGAUGCUCUAAUCCUUGAAAAACGAGGCGAAGCUAAGUUAGCCAACAAAAACAUAGCAAACAAUAGAGUAUAAGGAAAGGUGGCACAUAUGUUACCGGAGGUGGCACUGUCCAGUCAGAACAUGCCAAAACUUUAAAUGGAGUAAAAGUCCAUGGAAAGCUUCUUAAAUUGGGUAAUGGAAAGCUUCUUAAAUUGGGUAAUCCUGAGAACAUUAUGCUAGAUAAGAAAAAAGGUGUCGUAAUGUCUGAUACAGAUGGUAAAAUAAAUUAAAAUACAUGCUUCAAAAAGAUAAACGAGAGUAGUGCAUGGAAACACUAAGCUCACACUAGAUUUAAACUAUCACCGAGCGCCGGCUAGUCAAGUUUUAUGUAUCCAAUUUUGUGUAUGCUGUAAAAGUUGUGCACAUUUUGUUACAGAACGCAUAUCUUGUCUCUUUUCGACCCAUAUUUCAUCUGGGUAGUCAAUAUAUCGGUAAGCUUUUUUUUUUGCGAAAAAUAUAUCGGUAAGCUGCUUGCGUUGUUUUCAAUGGAGACAAUUUGUCUUCACGGUGGACAUAUCUAUAAAUAUCUUGCAUUGUUCAAAGAACAUUGAGUUUGACCAUUCAGUGCCAAAAGCGCCCAUAAUUAAACAAGAAUGGUUGGAGCAUCCUAUUCUUCUCUCAUUUUGCGGCCCUCUCUCCUUCUCCUCACCUCACUGGCGUUCGACGAGGCAACGCUAGGCGGCAGAGGGGCUGGCGGCUCCGCCACGUCGUUGCCUGACAUGUGGGCCCAAAGUCUAGGUGGCAGUCACGUCAUGCGGCCGGAGCUGCGCAUACAGGCGAGAAAGCUGGGAUAAACCACUUAACAAAUAAUGAUGACCCAAACGUGCAUUUUCAAAGAUCAGGGAUCUACUUGACACCUUCGUAAAAGAAUAGGGACAUCGGAUGCAUUUUAUUCUUUUACAAUUUACGCAGCAAGUACCUUCGUUCUAAAAUAUAGGGUGUACCGUAAAACUCUUGACUGUCAAAUUUUCUAUACUUUUUCAUGGUUGUCCAGAAAAAAUAUUAAUGUGUACUAUUUAAAUAUAUUUUAUCAUGCUUGUUGAUGAAUAAACUAUGUAAAUAUAAUUUAUUAUAUCUAGUAUUUUUUAUUCGGGGCUUUAAAUGUUAUUUUUCUCUAUGAAUUUGAUCAAAUUUGUUAAAUUUUAAUAGUCAAUGAAAAUUAUACACCUUAUAUAUAUUUGUAACAGAGAGAGUAUUAAAAUCACUAUGACGUCGAACUCAUGGAUCACGGCACCAGCUACAGUGACGCCGAUGUUAGUUUAUCCGGUGCAUCAUGAGCGCCAUUUAGCGCUAACCCGCGUUCCGGCCCCAUUUUCCUUAGCACCGACCCCAAGGGAUCAGAGAUUCAGAGAUAAAAGGAAAAUUUAGAAGAGACUAUCUGUUCAAUUAGAUUUCAAUCAAGGUCACUUAGGACAAAAGAUACGGCAGCGACAUGGGCGAGCGCAGAGGUGGACGCGAAUGGAAGCAAGAACCCGUGCGGUCGACACCACCCAGCCUGUGCGUGUGUGGAUUUUCGGUUUGUUGUGAAAGAUCACGACGUCUUUGACCAUUGACCGGAGAACAAAAUCCGGCCGCUUAAGCCCAGAAUAAUUCCAAAAGGGAAGCGCUUGCAUUUUCCGUCGGGGACACAGUGGGGGCGAGGCGGAAAGGAAAAUGAGCGCGCGCCCAAAGCAGCCCCGGAAAGCGACCCCGCACCCCGCGCCGGACGUCACCGAUCAUUUCCCUCCCUUUGACUGCCCCCACUUUGUCUUUGAAUGCUCCUUCUUUUCUUGUGUUCCACACGCUCUUUGCUAUGGCAGAUAAGCACCCGAGGAUCUCCAAAAUUGCAUGUGGACCAGUUGGAAAAUCUUGCAAGUUGUUUUUGGAGGUUUCUCAAGACAAUGUUGACUUUUGGAGGAAGAACAACUGCUUCCGUAAAAGAGUUGAAGAACAAUGAGCAGCGUUCCAGUAGUAUGUUGAAAAACAUUUCCAAGGAAGCAAGGAAUGAAGGAAAGAAACGAAAAAAAGGCGUUUGGAAAAAUUGCGACCACCAGGGAGCAUUUUGCACGAGCACGGCAGACCAGGGCGCUCGGCGCAAAGGACACUCCACCACCACCACUUCCAUUUCCAUAUACCACCACCCCCACCAUCUUCCCCAGCCUUCCUCCCCUUUCUGCUGCAUUCCCUGCUCCACAAGGAAAAGGAUUGCUAGCCUAGGAGCCAUGGUGAGGAAGGAGACGAGCACGAGCAUGAGGCUCCCGCCUCAGCACCAGGGGCUGGAGGUCAAGAUCCCGAGCUUCUUCCGGUGCCCGAUCUCGCUGGACGUCAUGCGGUCGCCGGUGAGCCUCUGCACGGGCGUCACGUACGACCGCGCCUCCAUACAGCGGUGGCUCGACUCCGGCCACACCACCUGCCCGGCCACCAUGCUCCCGCUCCCCUCCACGGAUCUCGUCCCCAACCUCACACUCCGCAGCCUCAUCGCCCACUGGUCCGCCUCCGCCGCCUCCUGCUCCCCCGCCGCGGCCGGAUCCGUCGCCUUCUUCGCCGCCGGCCCUUCCCCCGCGGGGCUCGUCCGCCAGGUCGCUUCCUCCCUCGGCGGCGGCGCCGACCCUUCCCCCGCGCUCUGCGAGCUCGCGGCCUAUCUCUCCGACGACGACGUCGACGAGUUCGAGAAGAACGCGCUCGUGGGCGCCGGCCGCGCCGCGGAGACCGUCGCGUCCGUGCUCAGACGGAAAGGGGAUCAGAUCGUGAGCGUCGAGGGCGCCGAGGCUGCCGUGAGCGUACUCGCCGCGAUCGUCGCGCUGGACGGCAUCGAGGACGCGAACAAGAGGCGCGUCGCCACGGGCCUCGCCGUGGACGCGGCGGCCUCGGCCGCAUCGCUGGCGCGCGUCCUGCGUGGCGGGAGCGGCCUCGAGGCAAGGAUCGACGCGGCGCGGCUCGCGGGUUUCUUGCUGGACAAUGCCGACGCCGACGCGAAGGCGGCCGUGGCCGAAUCGUCCCAGCUGGUGGCCGAGCUGAUACGGCUCAUCGGGCCCGUCGACGAGAAAGGCAGCCUGGACAAGAAGGCCAUGGGCACCGGCCUCUCGUGCCUGGCCACGAUCUCAGGGCUACGCCGCGCGGCGCGCGCCGAGAUGGUGCGCCUCGGCGCCGUCUCGGCCGCGGUGCGCGCGCUCCACGCCACGGCGGAGCCCGGCGCGUCGGCCAAGGCGCUCCGGAUCCUCGAGUCCGCCGUGGGCUGCGCCGAGGGCCGCGCGGAGCUGUGCAAGGACGCGGAGGAGACCGUCCCUGCCGUGCUCGACAAGAUGAUGAAGUCCGGCCGCGACGGCGCCGAGGCCGCGGUGGCCGUGCUCUGGGCGGUGUGCCACAAGUACAAGGACCGCAGGGCCGCGGACGCCGCCGCGGCGUCCGAGGGCGGGCUGACGAGGCUGCUCCUGCUGCUGCAGAGCGGGUGCUCGCCGCCGGCCAGGCAGAUGGCCGUGGAGCUGCUCAAGAUAUACAAGGUGAACGCCAAAAGCUGCCUCGCCGGCUACGACUCCAAGACCACCCACAUCAUGCCGUUCUGACCCAAGCUAAACGAAUGGCUUGCAAGCUCGGAACAGAACAGGGGAUAAACUUGUUAUUCAUGUUUUCUUUGAUUUGUUUAAACUGUAAGUUGAUAGAGAAAGAGAAGAAUUGAUUCGUGAAGAAGAGAAAAAAUAUGUACAUUGGUAGAGUUUUGACAGAAGAAUAAUAAGUAUGAAAGUAAAUGGAGAUUGACAGCCAGAGAUAUACCAUUCGUGUGCCAAAACAUUUCAGGCGCUCACAGGAGUUCUGGAUUGAUAAUCUUCCAACUUCAUGCAAUCGACACGAGUUCUGGAUUGAUAAGCUUCCAACUUCAUGCAACAAGCGUGCACAUACGUAGUCCGCAGUCAUACUAAUCAUUCCCAUAGUAUGCGUCUGUAACACAAACUUCUCAGAAUUCACAAGUGACAUACUCUGCAGUCCUACUGACUUCAUGGACAGAGGAGCAUUUGCUCAUGGCUUAUCAGGUACACUAACCAGCUAGUUCCAUCAUGCUAAUGAUUCAAGAGUGUCGUUGGUUGGGGGUAGAUUACUGAUUACACAUCCGUAGCUUGAAAGCAACGCGCGUGCUCAUGAGUCAUGACAGAGGAUAAGCCUGAUCGAACAUCUCCACGUUGGCAUCCGAUCGAAGUCCCUGCUCGAUUUGACCCAUCUAGGAUCAUGUCCAGUUCACUCCACUCCACCCACAUGCUAGGAGGAAAGCAAAACGUCCCAAAGAUGCUUGAUCAACGGACUGGUCUCUGAGUAAACAGCUCGCUUGGCGUGUUAAGAAAACAAAGUAAUUCAGCACUGAAAAUCGUGCGUUCCGAUCGACAAACCGCGGCAGAACCCAAAGCAAGUUCUCCUUUUACGGGAGUUUUUCUUUUCCGCUGCAAGCGGGAUCGAAUCGACGAACCGUGGAAAGAUCUUCACGACCCAAAGGAUCCACGACUGCGAGCCUAACUUAAAGUUCGCCCUGCGUGCACGGUCGGUCGCCCACGGCCCCCCACCACAUACAACUGUGCACCAAAUUGCACAGCUAGCCGUCUCCUUGUCUUUAUAAAGCUAGCCGGGCAAACUUUUCCUGAUCUGUAUUUAGGCCCGAGUCAGGGCCGAACAUCGAAGCCAUCACGAGUCAAUGCCGUAUUAAUCGUUUAGGUGAUACGGGCAGUGGCGCUAGCGUUUAGUAGGCGAUACGGGGGGCAGUGGCGGUAGUUGACUGGCGAGGACGGAAGAUCCUUUUGGGGUUCUUAAUUAAUCAGAGACGGAGAUUAAGAAGUCGAGAAAGAAGAGCCGUAAAGGGUGGUGUGGGACAGUGGGAGAGAAGGCUAGUGGUGUUCAUUGUCCACGGUAGCUCCAUUUUAUUGACCGCGCAAGACGAUAUACGUGGAUGCCUACCCAAGUUGGCCGCCACUGCUUACUCGCUACGCAUUUUGACGCAAGACAGAAGUACGAUUCAGACGUGGCUGUUGACGAUGCUUCUUCUGGGAUAAUCAAGCGCCACUACGUCGUCCGGUCGGUGGCGCACUCCGGUGGUGCAGGACGCCGCCCCGAUGGCCGACGCCCGCGCUCUCACGGAUCGCGGCCAGAUCAGGCCCUGAUUCAGGAGGUGGCUCCGUCUCCGACACAGGGAUUGGCACCAUUGUCCCGUGCUCAAGGUAGAUGAACCCAGAACCCCCAACAUGGACCUGGAUCCUGAUCUGGCUGAUUCCAUUCCUUCCUAUUCUAUGCUAGGUAUUAUUAUGUUAAGGCUAAUUGGAGGAAUUGUAUACAUGCCAUACUUGCAAAAACAUUGAUAAACCACAAAUCGUCCAAAUGAUUAGCAUAAUGUUAAACUAGUGAGAUUGAUUUGCAAUCAAUUGAUGUUUUCAUAAUUGAUUGAAAUCUUUCCAAAUUGGUCUUUGCUUCCUAGGUGGACUACACAUAUUGGUCCUACGUGGACAACAAAUUUGAUGUUUCAUGCUAGUCCAACAAAUUUAUCCCUAACUAAGUCUUGACCGUUGAAGUAAGAUUUGAUUGUUAAAAUAAUCUGGAUGACAUGGAUCAACGCUGUGCUUCAAUUUGGUACCCCUCAAUGUCCCAGGUGACGCGCGGAAAACAUCUUUGCUUCCGAACUACUGCCUCCGUCCCAAUAUAUGAUGCAUGCACGCGUCCCAAGAUCAUCAAUUUAACUACCAAAAUAUAAAUUAUAUGACAUAAAAACAUAUCAUUAGAAAGUUUAUUUGAUUACGAAUCUAAUGAUAUUUUUUUUUAUGAAAUACUCCCUCCAUUUCAUAAUUCUUGUUGAAAUAUUAAAUGUAUCUAGACACUUUUUAGAAAUAGAUACAUCCAUUUUUGAACAAAUUUGAGACAAGAAUUAUGAAACGGAGUGAGUAUGAUUUAGAUUUUGCUAGUUAAAUUUGUAAUCUUGGUAUGCGUGCGUGCCUCGUAUAUUGGGACGGAGAAACUAUCAAUUAGGCAUGAAAAAUAUUCUUCUCAAGAACAGAUUAUACAAAAUACUAAAACCGAGAAACUUUUCCUAAAUACUUGCGCUGAUCAAUUAGCUGUGCUAAUCGGCCACGUUGAUCAAUUCCUAAAUACUUGCGCUGAUCGUACGAACACAUGAAGGAAUCGACAUUGAUCCAUAACGGAAAGAAAAAAAAAAUCAGCAAACAAGGGAAAUGGUUGUCCGGAGCUGGUUUAUGUGCCAAACACAUUUAUGAGAUGGAGUGGAGCUGAGAUGAAGGAAAGUUUAGAGGCGGAAUGAAGUUAGAUAUUGGAGCGGAACUUAGAUGGAGUGAAGCCCUCCCAAACGGACACUUAGUGUCUUAGUAUUAGCUUUUGGUUCUCAUAAGCCAAUAACCCAACCAAACACUUCGUUCUUAUGAACUCCAGGAACUGAAUAAUGGGCCUCAGGUUACUCUAAGAAAAACAAAAUGGGCCUGUGUCGAAAAGCAAUAAUGGGCCUCAGGUCAAACACUAGUAUAGUACAGCAAACCAAUAGAUUGAUCGCCACAGCUUCAUCCAUCCCAGAAAUAACUUGUUGGGCGUUAUCGCUCCUCUGGUCGUCUGCCCAACGUUAAUUCCGAAUUCACAUCUCUGACACGUCACACGUUUGCGGCAUCGAAAAAGGAAGAAUUCCGAAUUCAUAAAAGACACAUUGUUGCAACUGUGGUCAAGACUGAAAGUGCGAUGGCAUCUCAAAAAAAAAAUGAGCAAUGGAAAUAUAAAGCGUAACAUGUUCCCCCCGCAAAAAAAAAAGCUUAACAUGUUCAAGAUGAGACUCAAUAACAGUGCACCGUCCGGUUGUUGUUCAUCUCGACGAGUCGGGUCGCACCAAAAGACCCUUCAGCGCUGUUCCAGCACAGCUGCACAGGUACCCCAUCCAAUUCAACCCUGCUGCUCGGGCCUUUUGGUCCCAUCACGAGCUCUAUACUGCAUCGCCAUGCCACUAGACCAGGGCAUUGCUUUGUCCGGGCUCCGGCUUGCGACCUCACGAAAGAGGGGAACUGGCUCGGUUGCUGAUUCGCCAGUGCUUUCGGCUUCGGGCUUCGUCUAGAUUCACUCCAUGUCUCCAUGUGAGCCCAUGCUUCAUCUUUAGCUCGUUUCGGCAGCAGGAAAAGAGAACUCGGCCUCGUCCUCGAUCUCGAGACUAGCACGAAAGCACUGGAAUCAUAAAUUAUUUAUGCUCAAGCGGAGCGGACACACGUAUGCCCUUCGUCCCAUGCGUGGUUCCUGAAAAGCAUUCAGGGAAUCAUGUCGCUCGUACGCCCUCUGCAAAGGAAGAGAUUCUCGCGUGUGGACUUUGAUCCAUGCACCUAGGCACUGCUACCUAGCCAUGAAUGCAUGGUGCGUCAGAGUAACAGAGAGAGCGUAUAUGACAGUAGUGAAGAGUUGUUUUCCUUUUCUUCGAAGAGUCACAUGCGUUAGAAGUGCGUGAGAAUCUCUUCUACCCGAAUGAAGAAUCACUGUCUCGCAACAAAAAAAGAAAAAGAAUGAAGAAUCACACCACUGGCAAGGACGAACAGGGGGCGUGUUCAUACCUGGGGUGGGGAAAACUGUUUGGAAGCAUAUGUGUGCACACAGGCUCUCAGUGGCACACGAUGACUGCUAAUCGAUGUAACAAAUGGAUUUAGCCAAUCUCAGCCAUCGUAACAAAUGGAGUACAUUCCCAGGCCUGUGCAUACGGUAACAUGACGUUGUCAUCUUACCUGGUUCAUUGUGAGAUUAUUUUUACCAAAAGGGAAGUAAAAUGGAAGUGCUUGCUAUAUAGAGUAAUUUUAAACACUUGUACGGAGAAAGUGAUUGCUAGUCUCAUGAUCAUGUGGAGCGAGGGCAUCCUUAUCGAAACCGCCAGCUAUUGACAAAGCACCUCGUUUCGGCACGCCAAUGUGAAACAUUACGAAAGCAAAGCUAAGCUAGAUGAGGGGUGAAUUGCAGAAUGGGUGAAAAUAUGCGCAGGCACGUAAAUAUCAGAGCAAUUAUUGGGUCCUGAGUCCUGACUAUGUUGUCCGUACCCUGUUAACAUUACAUGUAGUUCAGUAUCUUUGUCUAGCUACUACCUAGCUCUCACUACGGUUCAGCAUAUGUUCGUUACAAACAUCCCUACACCGAGGUAUUUAUUGAAAGUACACUAGCUAAAUAACGGUGUUAUGCUUCGAGAUAACUUGGUCAGCAUUUGUUUGUGUGUACAGAAUUAGCUAGCAGCGACCAAUCACAGAUAGGACGACUUCACCGACGGGGACAAUUCUCUUAGACGUCAGAUUAGUGCGUCGUCCAAUAUGAUUUUUAAACUACUCCAUUAUUAGUACUAGCAUUUCUCUUCAUGUGCCGACCAAUUUAAACGCCGAUUCCACCUUCGAGUGUUUUCGGUGUCAGCAUCAUUAAAGACGAGAAUUGUUAGCGUCUCGAUUUCUGGGGGGCAGAGCAAUCUCUCCCUGUUUUCCUGCAAGCAUGGCGGAGGGAAGAAGACAAUUGUCUCCAGCCUUUCAGAAAGAGGCGAUCAGACUGAGGUGAGAGCUUUCGCCACACACUUGUGGGCAGCACCGUCCGUUCGUGACAGUAGUAUUCCAUGUGUCUUGCUCCGAUGAAUUUACAGCAGAUUCAUUGCAAAAUCUGGAGAUAUAUAGCAGUAAUGCCACUUGCAUAGUCAAAUGGGUGAGAUUUUGAUUUAGACACAAGUAAAUUGGUCGUUACAAUUAUUGCAUCUAUCUAGUAUACCAAAGGCAAAAACAAAAUGAUGUCCGAAGUGAACCAUCAUCCAUGUCAUCUGAAUUAUUUUGGCAUUUGGAUCAUAUAUUUACGGUGAAUAUUCAAUAAGAAAAUGAUAUUUGACGGUACAACAAUGAAACAUUGAAGUGGUUUAAGGCUCAUGUGGGUCCGAUAUGUAUUUUUGUUGUUUUAUCCACGAGUCAGAAGAAUAUUCUCUAUACUAUAAUUUUACGGAGUAAGUAGUAAUCGCACCUCCAUUUACGGAGUAAGUAGUACUCGCACCUCCAUUCGCCGUAAUCUAUAAUAUAAUUUUAAAAAUUGCAAUAAACUGGUACUUGCAAAGUUAUAACUCUACAAACGUAUAAGCUACAUUUUUAAUAAUUGUUACUGAAUAACAUAACCUAUGAGUUAUUGACUGCCUAGCGAACCAUACAUUCACUAAUCAAAAUUGCUUCAAAGUAAAAAAAAACUCGCGAUCUAAAUUUAACCCGGAUAUUGAUAUAAUAAUUUCAUAAAACAUUAAUAUCACAUUAUGGUUUAUUAUCACAAAUAAUCUACAAACUAAUAUAAGUUGGCAAAUAACCGAUUGACCAAUUCGGUAUGUGAACUUUAAUUUUUCAUUGUCCCAUGGUUCAAAUCACAUAAGAACCUACAAAUUUUCAUUGACAAAAAGUCUAUCAAUAAGAUUUAGGAAACACAUUUUCCGUGACACUAAAGUGUUGUGUUUGUCUAUCAAUUUUUUUAUUUGGACUGUGUGUAUCAAUGACUUCCUUCGUAUCUUUUUUUUUUCGAGAAAAAACACUAUGAAAAAAAAAGCAUGGCCUAGUAGUUGAUCGCCAGUGCAAGGAUCUAGAGUGUAUCCUUUCAUGAUCUUCUUUAAUUUGUUGCCUUAGAUUUGAAUUUUUCAUAAGAAAUUGAAAUUUAUCAACAACUCUAACUUGUUACUCCGUAUUUCAACCCACGUGAAGCAAUGAUACACUUUUUAGCCUUUUCACAGCUGUUAAAAAAAAGUACUGUUACUACAUAAAGCCAUGAUUAUAAUAAGGAACAGUAUUAGGGCAGGGCGCCUAUGCCCUCACCUAUCAGGCAAUCGUCAUUUCUCUCUGCUAGUCCUGCAUUAUCGUGUGAUCCCGGUCAGGCUUUCACAUGGCCGUACUGUGAAACGCUUGCAUCGAGACGUUAUACUGGAGGACAUGCCUGCAUUGAGCAAUGUAAAUACCACCUGCUCCUCUGGGCCCCCCUACCUUGGCAACAACUAGCUUUUUUUUUUUCGAACACUGGCCACUAGCUAGGCUAGGCUCUCUCGUCUCGAAGGUCUCAGACUACUCCUACACGGUACACCCCCGGCUCCGGCCGGAGUGACCAACGGGGAAGCCUCCCUCUCUCCCCCACAUGCUUAUCCUCUCGCCACAGUACGCCCCAUCACAUGCGCCCGCAAGCAUCCAAGAGUGCCCCGUGUAUAUAAAGAGUGGCAUGGGUUACCAUUUUUCUCACAACCACACUGAUCCAAGCUUGCCAAAGAGUAGGCACUGCAGUGAGGGAGUGAGUGAGAAUGGGUGGCAAAGCCGUUCUCCUGGUGGCCCUCUUGGCCGUGAGCCUGGUGGUCCAGAUCCAGGCGGACAGCGGCUACACCCCGACGCCGGUGACCCCGUCUCCCAAGCCCGAGAAGCCACCCAAGGGCCACAAGCCGCCCCACCACCACCACCACGCCAAGCCUCCGGCUGGCUCCCACAAGCCGGCGCCUCCCACGGCCACUCCUCCCACGCCGGCGUACAAGCCACCCACGGCCACGCCUCCGGCUCCGACGCCACCGAAGUACACUCCGUCCCCGAAGCCACCGACGCCUAAGCCCACACCACCCACGUAUACCCCGACCCCGAAGCCGCCCACUCCCACACCAAAGCCCACGCCGCCAACGUACAAGCCGGCACCCAAGCCCACUCCUCCCACGUAUAAGCCCACACCCAAGCCCUCGCCGCCGACGUACCCGCCGAAGCCAACACCACCCACCUACAAGCCGGCGCCGAAGCCGACUCCCCCGACCUACAAGCCGGCGCCGAAGCCGACACCGCCCACCUACAAGCCCGCGCCGAAGCCGACGCCCCCGACCUACAAGCCGGACCCCAAGCCGACUCCCCCGACGUACAAGCCCGCGCCGAAGCCGGCCCCCAAGCCUACGCCCCCGAACUACAAGCCGGCGCCGAAGCCGACGCCGCCGUCGUACAAGCCGGCCCCGAAGCCCACUCCCCCGGCACCGAAGCCCACGCCGCCGACACCACCAGCCUACAAGCCGGCGCCGAAGCCGAGCCCUCCGACGCCCGCCCCGCCGGCGUACAAGCCUCCGACUCCGACUCCUCCGGCGUACAAGACCCCCACUCCGAGCCCGCCGCCGCCGCCCUACCACCACUAAGAUCCAUCACUCUCUUUAGUUGGGAGCACAGGU